rnacentral:lncRNA from 1 species
AUUUCAAUGACCAGAUCUGGGAAGAGAAAUGCCAUCAUUCAACAUGUGACCAAAUUUGUUGGUAACAGUGCCAUUAGCAUGGGAUUUUCUGACCUACAAAGUGGAUUUACAAUCAACAUGCCCUUUCAUCCUUAGUUUGAUGAAGUUGAUGAUGAUGACAAUAAAUAUGUUGGGAACUGACAAUCUGCUUUUUCCAGAAGACGCAGUUUUGGAGAUUUCAUCUUUUAAAUGAACUCUCAGAAAUACAAAGACAAAAUGGAGGAAAGUAGACACUGAGGUGUUGAGAUGGUGACCCAAGGCAAAGUCUGCCCAAUGAGGGACAGUGGCACUACAAGACCACAAACUCUUCAGUCCGGAAAGUGAACAUGGUUUUCGAUUACUGGUGUGCCCGGCUCAAAACUUGUUAAGCAGGAUAUCAGAAGGAAGAGGAAUCUUCAAAUUGGUUGAUAUCUUGAGUUCAGAAUCAA